rnacentral:rRNA from 1 species
GACGAACGCUGGCGGCGUGCUUAACACAUGCAAGUCGAACGGAAAGGCCUCUUUCGGGGGGUACUCGAGUGGCGAACGGGUGAGUAACACGUGAGUAACCUGCCCUUGACUUUGGGAUUACUUCAGGAAACUGGGGCUAAUACCGGAUAGGAGCUCCUGCUGCAUGGUGGGGGUUGGAAAGUUUCGGCGGUUGGGGAUGGACUCGCGGCUUAUCAGCUUGUUGGUGGGGUAGUGGCUUACCAAGGCUUUGACGGGUAGCCGGCCUGGGGGGGUGACCCGCCACAUUGGGACUGAGGUACGGCCCAGACUCCUACGGGAGGCAGCAGUGGGGAAUAUUGCACAAUGGGUGGAAGCCUGAUGCAGCAACGCCGUGUGCGGGAUGACGGCCUUCGGGUUGGAAACCGCUUUCGCUCAUGACGAAGCUUUGUGUGACGGUAGUGGGUAAAGAAGCACCGGCUAACUACGUG